AUUGACCUCUCCACUUCUGUCAUGCCCUGUACGGAGCCGUCGGCUGCCUCUCAUCCCCUCCAGUUUACCCGCUUCCACAAUUCCUUCACUCUUGAGAAACUUCAAGAGCAAGAGGCGUUUCGUUUCUUUGUAAUCUCUACGGCAGGAGCCGUGUUUUGCUACAUCAUAUCUUGCUUGAUGGGACUUUGCAUGCACACGGACCAUGAAACUCACUCAUGGAAGUGGGAAUUGGAUACCUAGAAUUCAAAAGAUCAUGUGUGGUUCUGCUGCUGCAGGAUGAUGAUGGCCUCCUUCAUCGGCUCAGGUCCUUGCAUCCCCAUCUUCUUCCCACUCUUUGCAAACAUGGUUAUUUUAGUCUGGUCAUUGGUUAUUCAGCUAUUAGCAGGUUGCUCAAUGCCUCAUCGUGCAAUCAAAAGUGCAAUUAUUUCCAUAGAUUACUUUGUUUUUAAUAUAUAUACUCCAAUAAUCUAGGUGAUGCCUGAUUGUGACCAGAUAUUGGAGAAUGUAUGGAC